AACUAGUUUUUGACAGAAUAUAAAAACUGUUUUAAUAUAAAUAGUAUAAAUAGUGAAGAUUUUUAGAUCAACCAUCUAGUCGCACAUUUGUAAGAGAAGAUAGCAUAACAAUGAUUUUCAAGAUAUUCUUUGUCUGUAUAUUGAUGGCAAUAUUCUUAGUGUCUACGUCAGAAUCUGCCGCUAUGAAGAAACCUAGCGUUUCAGGAAACAUGACUGUAGAAUGCGUAAAAAUGGACAAAAACAUGGACCAAAAGCAAAUAGGAAUGCGUACACAGAGUGAAGGCAAUAAAGAUGCUUUUCCAGGCUCUAAACAUACUACAGAAAAUCCUUUUAUUGCACAUUAUCCUGCAAGGGUUUUAAAAUCAUGUUCUCGGUAAUUUUUGAUUUUAAUCACAUGUUUACAACGUUCAUUAUAACAAAGAUAUGUUAUCAAAGGAAUAAUUUAAAAAAAAAACUUAAGGCUACAUUGAUUUUAACAAUAAACUAAAUACUCUCAGGAAGUUUUGUUCUGAUUAAUCAAAUUUAUUAAUAAAAACUAAAUAAUAAAUGUAAAAUUCACUUAAGAUAUGACUUCAAACUGAUGAGUAGCGAAUAAGAGUUGUAGUUUUAGCAUAAAAACAGGAUAUUUUUUAUUAAUUAUAUUUGUUUAAGAUAUAUAAUAAAUAAAACCUAAAAAUACAUAUGUCACUUCUAAAUAUUUAAUAUUUGAAUAUGUGCCCUAAUCCGGAUCCUAAUCCAAAACGCCGAUCAGUUUGUUUGCAUAUUUU